GCUUACAUGGGCUCUCCACUUUCUGGUUCCUGCUGAUAAGUCUGGCAUACUCUAUGAUGUUAAUGCGAGUGGGCAUGAACCCAUAUAUACCGAUGCCUUGGUUGAUUUUGAUACCAAAGGUCUAGGCUACUCACUAGAUGGCAGUGGUUUCCACUGCAUAUAAUGUGUCGUUGUAAAAUGUCAUGUCUGGCAAACCGCCGUUGUGCCCAAUUCGACUGCAGCCGCCUCAGACUACGGAAUACCAGACCUACGGUGCCAAGCAGUGAACGCUUAUUACGUUAGAGACAUUGACAUUUACGUUCAUUCACGUAAAUGCUGGAUUAAAUGGAUUUACAUGGUCGUGGUCAACAUUGGAAGUUGCCAUGCCACAUUCGAGACUGAGACAGACUUUAACUGGCUGACCGAUGAAGUAAAACUUGAAGGUUUACCUAGAGAGAGGCACACCUGGGAAUCAUAGCAACAUCAAGGGACUGUCAGUGCCCCACGCAAUAGCAAGGUUACAGGUGCAAUUAGUUACUUCGGCUAUUGUCUUGG